AAAUGUAGUAGACUAUAAGUAUACAGUGAACAUGAACGUAUACUAAGUACACUACGUUUUC
rfam:Danio rerio chromosome 24, GRCz11 reference primary assembly.